AUUGAACGCUGGCGGCAGGCCUAACACAUGCAAGUCGAGCGAGCGGCGGACGGGUGAGUAAUGUCUGGGAAACUGCCUGAUGGAGGGGGAUAACUACUGGAAACGGUAGCUAAUACCGCAUACCAUCAGAUGUGCCCAGAUGGGAUUAGCUCGUAGGUGGGGUAAUGGCUCACCUAGGCGACGAUCCCUAGCUUGUCUGAGAGGAUGACCAACAACGCGUGAACUGAGAGACGGUGCAAACGCGUACGGUAGGCAGCAUUGGGGAAUUUUGCACAAUGGGCAGUAGCGUAAUGCAGCCAUGGCGGGUGUGUAAAAAGGGCCAUCGGGUUGUAGAGCACUUUCAGCGGCGAGGCGUUACCCAAAGAAUAAGCACCGGCUAACUCCGUGCCAGCCGCCGCGGUAAUAC
rnacentral:rRNA from 1 species